rnacentral:rRNA from 1 species
UAGUCCACGCCGUAAACGAUGGAUACUAGCUGUCCGGCACCUUGAGUGCUGGGCGGCCAAGCGAAAGUGAUAAGUAUCCCACCUGGGGAGUACGUUCGCAAGAAUGAAACUCAAAGGAAUUGACGGGGGCCCGCACAAGCGGUGGAGCAUGUGGUUUAAUUCGAUGAUACGCGAGGAACCUUACCAGGGCUUAAAUGCAUAUUGACAGACUUAGAGAUAGGUUUUCCUUCGGGCAAUUUGCAAGGUGCUGCAUGGUUGUCGUCAGCUCGUGCCGUGAGGUGUCAGGUUAAGUCCUAUAACGAGCGCAACCCCUGCCGUUAGUUGCCAGCAUGUAAAGAUGGGGACUCUAACGGGACUGCCGGUGCAAACCGCGAGGAAGGUGGGGAUGACGUCAAAUCAUCACGGCCCUUACGUCCUGGGCCACACACGUGCUACAAUGGCCGGUACAGAGGGAAGCCACCACGUAAGUGGGCGCGGAUCUAUAAAACCGGUCACAGUUCGGAUCGGGGUCUGCAACUCCG